rnacentral:rRNA from 1 species
UACGAAGGGGGCUAGCGUUGUUCGGAAUUACUGGGCGUAAAGCGCACGUAGGCGGAUACUUAAGUCAGGGGUGAAAUCCCGGGGCUCAACCCCGGAACUGCCUUUGAUACUGGGUAUCUCGAGUCCGGAAGAGGUGAGUGGAAUUCCGAGUGUAGAGGUGAAAUUCGUAGAUAUUCGGAGGAACACCAGUGGCGAAGGCGGCUCACUGGUCCGGUACUGACGCUGAGGUGCGAAAGCGUGGGGGAGCAAACA